rnacentral:rRNA from 1 species
GGGAAUUUUGGGCAAUGGGCGAAAGCCUGACCCAGCAACGCCGCGUGAGGGAUGAAGUAUUUCGGUAUGUAAACCUCGAAAGAAUGGGAAGACUAAAUGACGGUACCAUUUAUAAGCUCCGGCUAACUACGUGCCAGCAGCCGCGGUAAUACGUAGGGAGCAAGCGUUGUUCGGAUUUACUGGGCGUAAAGGGCGCGUAGGCGGCGCGGUAAGUCACUUGUGUAAUCUCUGAGCUUAACUCAGAACGGCCAAGUGAUACUGCUGUGCUAGAGUGCGGAAGAGGCAACCGGAAUUCUUGGUGUAGCGGUGAAAUGCGUAGAUAUCAAGAGGAACACCUGAGGCGAAGGCGGGUUGCUGGGCCGACACUGACGCUGAUGCGCGAAAGCCAGGGGAGCAAACG